ensembl:lincRNA
CUCCUUUCCUAAGGAACCUGGCCACCUAGCUCUCCGGGCCUUUCCCACACCCAACUCGGGCCAGGCUGGCCUCUCCCGCGCUACAGGGAGGUCCCGGAGGGAGGCCAGGGUGGGGAGAGAGCACCCCACCUUCCUUCCUGCUCCCGCAGCCCGCACCCACUUUGAGAGGUGCUAGGUGUCCCCGCUCCCCGGUAGGGAAUAGAGGACAGACAGGUCUGCAGGCAGGUGAGGAUGUGAGCACCGCACCUUCUGGGCAGGUGGGAGAAGCUGGCUUCCCUCUGGAACUGAGUCACCUUCCGCGGCCCAGGGUCAGUGCGCAGGUGCGGAGGGGCGGGUUAAGCUCACCUCCACUGGCGGAUCUCAGCAAGGAGCGCCAGGCUCUGCUAAGCUGACCUGGGUUCCUCAGAACAUCAGUGCUUAACCGCCCACGAGGCGCUCAGUCCUGCCGUCCCCAUUUUACAGUCGCAGGGUCAGCUCAGGAGUCGGACCCACUAUGACGACUCAGGGAGGACAUCAUAUGCGUGCUCAGCGACCUGUGGAGUGCCGGUUCAAGGAAUGGGCUCCCAUUUUCCAGAUGGAGAAACCGAGGCACUGUACGGCCCCUGCACCUGCAAGUCUGGAGGGCUCGUCCCUGCUCACCCCGCACACCUUCUGGAAAAGGCCUCAGGCCUGUCAUUAGCUCUGCCCAGAACAGAAGGUCCCCGCCCAGACAGAGAGGUAGUCUUUUCCUGCCCGGAGGCAUUGAAACAGAGCCUGAAGCCUCCCCACAUGGAACUGCAUGGGAAGCAGUAAAAUCCUCGGCUGCUAGAAUCUCCGGAGGCCCCAAGACUUUUUGAACAUCGGCCCUAGAGGAGAAUGAUUUCAGACACUUUCUGGAGGAUUGUUUGUCGAGAGCCGAAAAGGCUUCAAUCCAGACUUAGGUGGGGAUACUCACUAUUGGGAGCAGCACCAAGGACAGAGGUCUGGGACUGCCUGGCCCCGCCCCACCGUCCCUUCCGGUCGCUCAGCCCAGAGGUUCUCCCGUGACCCACAUCUUCUCCUGAGCCUCCUGAAGCAGCGCAGACCAGGCCAGGGGCCGGCGGAGGGAGGAAGACGACACAGCCUGCAGUGUCACCAGCGCCGGCACACGGCCCCAUGCCUUGAGCAGGAGGGUUAAUCCCCGGUCCUCUUCGGGGGCUGGGCCUUGUCCAUGUGCUUUCAGCACCGAGCACGGCCUGGCGGAAGAUACGUCUUUCCCUUUCCAUGCCUUAACGGUACAUGUUCACUGGGGGAAUUGUCCACUAUACAGAAAAUACAAAGAAAACCAAAAAUAAGAGCCCAUUAGAGUCUCAUAGUCACCUUUGCUACUUAGAUACCUCUUUUUGCUUUUAGGUAGACAGCUGUGGGCUGUAAACCGUAUCACAUCCUAUGUUCUGUCCCGUAUACCAUUAUAUAUAUUACUGUGUACCACUGUACAAUACCAUGCCCGGAGCCCAUUCUGUGUGAACAAACACAGAGCUAUAAGGUUGCUUUCACAGUUGCAUUGCAGCCUCCUAUUUCAUGUACUGAGCUAAUAGCUGUUAAUAAGAUGUUUAGGUUGUUUCCAGUUUCAUGCUGUUUUAAGUACUCAAAGAUGAGUGUGUUUGUGGACAGAUGUUUUUGCACUUAUACAGUUGUCUCCUUGGGGUAAUUUCUUCAAAAUAGAAUUAUUGGAUCAAAAACACACAUUUUAUAUUUGGACACACAUCAUCAAACUGCCUUCUCAAAAAGUUGUACACUGUACAUUGCUAUCCAAAGAAGACAUUGUUAGGGCCAGGCAUUUAGCUCAGUGGCACCAAGCCUGCCCAACAAGCACAAGGUACUGAGUUUGAUCCCUGCCACCAAACAAAAAGGUAUUGUUAGGCCUUUAAUUUUUGCUGUCAAAUGAAUGGGCUCUUAGCCUGGCCAGGUACGCACAUCUGUAAUCCCAACACUUUGAGAAGCUGAGGCAUGAAGAUGGCAAGUUUGAGCCCAGUCUGAGUAACAUAGCAACUUAGUGUGAGAACUUGUCUCAAAAUAAGACAUAAAAAAGGCUGGGAAUGUAGCUCAGUAAGAAGGCCC